GGCUCCAUAGUGUAGUGGUUAGAAUGUCUGCUUUACAAGCAGAAGGUUCUGGGUUCACACCUGAGGUGGAGCCA
rnacentral:tRNA from 1 species